GGGUACAUCUGUCAACGAUAAGCAAACAAAAAUGAAGUCACAUCAAAUUGUAUYUGUAAUGCUGUUUUCGCUUGUAUUAGGUUGCCUUAUCGACCUAAGCGUGCAAUAUAACGGUGGUUCGCUGUGCCAAGGGUGUCUUGAUCCACCUUGUCCUUGUCGCAGAAGAAUCGCUCUAAUGAAGAGAGCGCUAACAAUGGGAAAAAGAGAAGAUUGGUGUGCUGUAGCCAGGUCUAUGAAUUGUGCCGAUAGCCCUGUCAAAUCAUCUUCCAACGACCAACCAGAGCCCAAACUCUACCAAUAGGCAGCAAAGACGACGCCACGCGCACCUGACGGGCGUGGGGAUUAAUAUCAAUCAAGUCAUAGCAGACAUCGAUUACUUUAAAUGAGUGGGAACUUGUUACUAAUAGCGAUAGCAUUAAGUAGUAGUUUGCAAGGUAUUUUAGUUAUGUAACGAGCUAAUGUAGCUUGGAUUUAAUGGAUAUUGGAGUAAUCCCUUAAUAAUACCAUUAAAACAUUUAGAUGCCUUUAAGUAAACUUUUAUCUAAUUUAUCUCUAUAACUUUUAAGAAUUAAACGUGUUUAAAGGAAACCGGC